GUUUGAUCUAAGCCCUCUCCUAUGGUCUCUACACUCAAUGAUUAUACUUUUGCUACUUUCUUCUCAGUGUGGGGUCCAGUCCUGUCCUUAAAAGGGAGUCUUGUUUUGAGAGGUGUUUUGAGAGU